rnacentral:rRNA from 1 species
CCUACGGGGAGCAGCAGUGGGGAAUAUUGGACAAUGGGGGAAACCCUGAUCCAGCGACGCCGCGUGAGUGAAGAAGUAUUUCGGUACGUAAAGCUCUAUCAGCAGGAAAGAAAAUGACGGUACCUGACUAAGAAGCCCCGGCUAACUACGUGCCAGCAGCCGCGGUAAUACGUAGGGGACAAGCGUUAGCCGGAUUUACUGGGUGUAAAGGGAGCGUAGACGGCAGGGCAAGUCUGGAGUGAAAUGGCGGGGCCCAACCCCGGAACUGCUCUGGAAACUGUGAAGCUUGAGUGCAGGAGAGGUAAGUGGAAUUCCUGGUGUAGCGGUGAAAUGCGUAGAUAUCAGGAGGAACACCGGCGGCGAAGGCGGCUUACUGGACUGUAACUGACGUUGAGGCUCGAAGGCGUGGGGAGCAAACAGGAUUAGAUACCCCAGUAGUC